UACAGAGGUCUCAAGCGUUUGUUCGGAUUCAUUGGGCGUAAAGGGUGCGUAGGCGGCGCGGUAAGUCGGGUGUGAAAUCUCGGAGCUUAACUCCGAAACUGCAUUCGAUACUGCCGUGCUUGAGGACUGGAGAGGAGACUGGAAUUUACGGUGUAGCGGUGAAAUGCGUAGAUAUCGUAAGGAAUACCGGUGGCGAAAGCGACUCUCUGGACGGCAACUGACGCUGAGGCACGAAAGCGUGGGGAGCAAACAGG
rnacentral:rRNA from 1 species